rnacentral:rRNA from 1 species
GAUGAACGCUGGCGGCGUGCCUAAUACAUGCAAGUCGAGCGAACGGGCGAGAAGCUUGCUUCUCUGAUGUUAGCGGCGGACGGGUGAGUAACACGUGGAUAACCUACCUAUAAGACUGGGAUAACUUCGGGAAACCGGAGCUAAUACCGGAUGAUAUUUUGAACCGCAUGGUUCAAAAGUGAAAGACGGUCUUGCUGUCACUUAUAGAUGGAUCCGCGCUGCAUUAGCUAGUUGGUAAGGUAACGGCUUACCAAGGCAACGAUGCAUAGCCGACCUGAGAGGGUGAUCGGCCACACUGGAACUGAGACACGGUCCAGACUCCUACGGGAGGCAGCAGUAGGGAAUCUUCCGCAAUGGGCGAAAGCCUGACGGAGCAACGCCGCGUGAGUGAUGAAGGUCUUCGGAUCGUAAAACUCUGUUAUUAGGGAGGAACAUAUGUGUAAGUAACUGUGCACAUCUUGACGGUACCUAAUCAGAAAGCCACGGCUAACUACGUG